rnacentral:tRNA from 1 species
GGAAAUGUGACUUAGUGGUAGAGUAUUUGCCUAGCAUGCAUGAAGCCCCAGGUUCAAUUCCUCAGUACCA